UAUACGUAGUGAUAUAUACCAAACGCAUAAGGGCUCUCUUUUUUUUGUUUGAAAAAAGUAUAUAGAAAUACACAAGAUACGCAUAAACACACUUACAUAUAAACUUUGCUUUCUCAAAGAGAAAAACUGAAAGGGAGAAGAAGAUGGGUUUAUUACCAAUGUUGAAGAAACUAGGUCUCAUCUUUCUCCUUGUUUCAGCUUCAUCGUUUGCUCUCUCUUCUGCAGGCCGAUCAUCAAUCUUAAUCUAUGACCAAGAAUCUAAUCAUCCCGAGGUGGUGGAAAGAAGAAUACAUGAACAUGAGAAUUCUGAGAAUGAAUACAAAAGACUAUGGACAGUUCAGUCCCAAACAUAAGUUCGUGAGGCCUCCUUUCAAGCUUAUUCCCAACUGAUCAUCAUAUCGCCGAUCCACUAGCUACCACUAUAUAUAGAUUCCGGAUUUAUGAGUUGAUGUAUAAUAUAAUGUAUACCUAAAGACUAACACUGCAAUAAGUUUGAAUGUGCAUCUUAAUAUCAUAUAAGUUUGAAGAUAUAUAUGUUAUCUUCUUUUUUUUUACGCCUA